rnacentral:rRNA from 1 species
AUUGAACGCUGGCGGCAUGCCUAACACAUGCAAGUCGAACGGUAACAGGCCCGCAAGGGUGCUGACGAGUGGCAGACGGGUGAGUAACACGUAGGAAUCUGCCCUGUAGUGGGGGAUAGCCCGGCGAAAGCCGGAUUAAUACCGCAUACGAUCUACGGAUGAAAGCGGAGGAUCGCAAGACCUCGCGCUAUUGGAUGAGCCUACGUCUGAUUAGCUAGUUGGUAGGGUAAUGGCCUACCAAGGCGACGAUCAGUAGCUGGUCUGAGAGGAUGAUCAGCCACACCGGAACUGAGACACGGUCCGGACUCCUACGGGAGGCAGCAGUGGGGAAUAUUGGACAAUGGGGGAAACCCUGAUCCAGCAAUGCCGCGUGUGUGAAGAAGGCCUGCGGGUUGUAAAGCACUUUUGUUGGGGAAGAAAAGCCGUCGGCGAAUAUCCGGCGGUCUUGACGGUACCCAAAGAAUAAGCACCGGCUAACUCCGUGCCAGCAGCCGAC